rnacentral:miRNA from 1 species
AACACACACAUGGUUGUAUGUGUGUGUGUGUGUGUGUGUGUGUGUGUGUGUGUGUGUGUGUGCAUACAACCAUGCACACACACACACUCACACCUAGGAACAAUUU